AUUGAACGCUGGCGGCAUGCUUUACACAUGCAAGUCGAACGGCAGCGCGGGCUUCGGCCUGGCGGCGAGUGGCGAACGGGUGAGUAAUAUAUCGGAACGUACCCAAGAGUGGGGGAUAACGUAGCGAAAGUUACGCUAAUACCGCAUACGAUCUAAGGAUGAAAGCAGGGGAUCGCAAGACCUUGUGCUCCUGGAGCGGCCGAUAUCUGAUUAGCUAGUUGGUGAGGUAAAGGCUCACCAAGGCAACGAUCAGUAGCUGGUCUGAGAGGACGACCAGCCACACUGGAACUGAGACACGGUCCAGACUCCUACGGGAGGCAGCAGUGGGGAAUUUUGGGCAAUGGGCGAAAGCCUGACCCAGCAACGCCGCGUGGGUGACGAAGGCCUUCGGGUCGUAAAGCCCUUUCUGGGGGACGGAUAAUGACGGUACCCCACGGAAGAAGCACCGGCUAACUACGUGCCAGCAGCCGCGGUAAU
rnacentral:rRNA from 1 species